rnacentral:rRNA from 1 species
UACGUAGGGUGCGAGCGUUAAUCGGAAUUACUGGGCGUAAAGCGUGCGCAGGCGGUUCGUUAAGACAGAUGUGAAAUCCCCGGGCUUAACCUGGGAACUGCAUUUGUGACUGGCGAGCUAGAGUAUGGCAGAGGGGGGGUAGAAUUCCACGUGUAGCAGUGAAAUGCGUAGAGAUGUGGAGGAAUACCGAUGGCGAAGGCAGCCCCCCUGGGAUAACACUGACGCUCAUGCACGAAAGCGUGGGGAGCAAACAGG